AGCAAAAUAAGCCACUUAUACAAAUAAAAAUGCUUUCUAGAGAAUAUUUAUGUAUUUUUCUCAACAUUUCAGCUCUAAAAAUAUCAAAAUUACAUUUCUAUAAUUCUAAAACACCGUCGUAGAAAAUGCGAAAAGACGGACAACUCACCAGGCCUCUCUGUAGUCGAGUGAGUUGUCCGUCACCCUGACAGUGCACUGUGACUUUGUAAGGAAUCGUGGACUGGUACCGGUACCGCACCUACUGAACUACGUGCCUGUUAGGACCAGAUUUAAGGACAAAUGUCAGAAUGUCGAUUUUUAACAUUUGAGGAAAAUAUGCCGGGAAACUGUGAAACAAUGCUCUAAGUUAAGGAGAUCUCGGCCCAGGAUUUUUUUCAAUCCCGUGCAUAGCAAGCAGAGCAAAAAAGACGAUUCUUAUUGCCAGCGCCAUUCGUGAUGAAUGAGGAAGUAAUUGGAGAAUGAAGGAGGAAGAAGCAUUUGCCUUUGACCUCAUCCCACCCCGGAACAUGCCAAUUCUAAUUCGGUACUUUUGUUUGGUGACCUCAGGUGGCUACAUAUCUUACAUAUGUGUACCAUGCAUUGGUCCAACCAACACUUAAGGUGCUCACUGGGCAUUACUAAUUAUAUUCAACGAAAGUCUGAAAGGUAAGAGAUAAGAUGGCUUUCCGCAGUCUCUCCUCUAGUUACCAGUCGACUUUGGGUGUGCCAAUAAUUGAGCAGAUUUUUCGUCACUCCAGAAGUGUGUGUACCAAUAUGGAGGUAACUAAUUUUGUUCGCCUUUUUACAUCAAGUUGCGUAAAGGGACUGAAACCUAUGGACAGGGGAUAUAUUCACAUGGCUAACACAGACAGUCCCCGAACUCGUUAUAGAACUAAAAUAAGGAAAAUCGGAAUAAAAUUAUGGCCUAACCUGGUACACACACUACGGGAGUGCCGAUUUUUCUUCAGAACAUGAACUCUGGUGAAUAUGUGGAGGAAGCAAUGUUUGACCAGCAGUUUAAUGAAAUUUCAUAUGACAAAAAUCAUUUGUGUAUAUUCACCCUUAAUAGUUUCUCAAUGUAAUUUUUCGUCUUAUUUUUUGCUUUUCGCAUGCGCAUCUACCUAAGAGUGGGUUUGCCUAAAAAUAUUUCGUGUUGUAGUGCCAAUCCCACCCUGUGGGAGGAACUCCUUAAAUUGACUAUGACCUAGUCUUUCUUAAAUUUCUAUCUUGUUUCUAUGAAGGCCUCCUCAAUGAGCUAUACAAUCAUUCUGAAAAAUGUUAUCCAGGGGGAUCAAAUAGGCUUUAAUCAUUCACAUAAGGCUGAUGCUUGUUAAAAACCUACUCUACCAUAAUGUCUAUCCUUCUUCUAUUAGCACUAUUCGUUUGCCUAAAAGCCAUCCAAUUUUAAAUUACGUAAAUAAGUCAAUCUUGAGUGGGACAUUUAUGUCUAUCUUUUUUUUAAGGAGGCCUCCACAAGGAUCUAUACCGUCAUUCUGGAAAAAGCUCGUUACCCUACCUUUUUCUACCUAACUUUUACUUUCCGUACCAAAAUGUCUAUCCUUCUUCCAUUAGCGCUAUCCGUUUUCCAUCUAAUUUUAAAUAAGGCAAUAUUUUAACAAAAAGGGCAUUUCCAUUUCUAAUUGUCUAUCCUUAACUAACGAAAGUCAUCCCUCUCUAAUAUGUGUGUCCUAUUCAGAAAGAUCUUUUUAAACAAAACUUUGUUUCUCUCAAAUGAAUGCUAUUACUAUAUUUUGAGGGGAUUUUUUUGAACUUCAAUACUAACCCCACUUUUUAAAUUUCAAAGCGCUUCAAAUAAAAACUGCUAUUGCGAACACUGAUUGGUGGGAGCUCCCGAAGUAUGUGCACGAAGAUGGCGCACAACACAUAGAUGUGUACCAGGUUAGGGUUAAGGUUGUUCGCCAUCUUGGUGCACAUAUUACGGGAGCACCCAUUGGUAAGCCAGAUGUUUUCAGUUAGCUGCAGGAGUGGUUAUAUGGUCCAACUUGCCAUUUGAAUGACCUUCUUCGAAGAGAAUAUUGGGCUGCUAUUUGGAGACAGGUUUCAUUUUAGGUCAUCUACUCAAGACAUGUGCUAUCAAAGAACUGUAAAGUUUUGUCAUAAAAAUUCUCAAACACGAUAAAUUAAGCCAUGGUAAUACAGGGUGUCCUGAAAUAUAUGAAACCCACAAAAUUGCUAAUGAAUAUGUGAGUUUUAACCCUAUAUUUUAUAUGUUUCAUAUUUGAUAGCAGUUAUAAUUAACAAUUAUAA